GUUCACGGUCCUUGCACGGUCCCAAACCCACAGCCUACGGGGCAGUGAGUCACAGAAGUGUCGGGACCUCCUCUCUCCUUUCUCUCCUCCUCCAGUCUUACAGAGAAGAAAGUGAAGCGUGGGUGGCUGAGUUGAGCCUGAGUUAACCCUGCAACGCCACUCAACUCAGGCACCAACACUGCAUUUUCUUCUCUGUAAGGGACUUGGCUGGGUCACCACCCACAGAUUGAUAUCCAGGGACCGUGUGAAGGAGGAUUACAGAACGCCAUCUGGGGCGGGGAAGGAGUGGAGGGACAAGGGGCACUUUGUUGGCUGUUCCCAGGAGCCCUUUGAUCAGGAGUGGCCUUUGUGACGGCUUCUGCUGACCCCUCCUCUCCCACGUCCCUCUGAACCCAGGUCCCUUCCCACUCCAUGCUUCCCUUGGAAGGGUCCUCUGCCGCCUGGCCCUUUUCCUGCACGUCCAGACUGCAGAGGAGAGAAAAAAACACUGAGUCUGCCCCCCAUCCCCACCCCACUGCNNNNNNNGCCCCUCCCCCGGAGAACUUCAGCAGAUGUAGACAAGACUUUAAUAGCUACAUACAGAGAAACUCAGGACAGCCUCAUUAGGGGAGGGCGAUGGCCAGUUGGAGGACCUCAGAGAGGACACUGUAUCAGCACCCGCAGCCCUCUGUCCAGAGCGCAGCAUAUGCGGGAGGUCAAGACACCCGGAGUCCUGAGAUUUCCAACCAUCUGCUGGGGGAGAAAGGAAGUCAGGGCCGGAGGACGGAAGGGGAAGAACCUCAAUGAUGCUCUGAAGAUUUUCCACAAGUUAUUUAUGGAGGGGCUCGUGGACUUUGGAGGCUGAACUGGAUGUUGUGCUUGAACGAGAGGACUUUCUCAACAUAGUUCUGAUGCUCAGAGCAGUCGCCAGGGACAGACUUUGUGCCUGAGGCUCCAGCAAGAGGAUUAUCAACCUCGGAAAGCAGGGUUUGAUUCACCACAUGACGGGGAAGCGAGAUUGUGUGUGCUGAUGGGUGGAACUCCGGGCAGGGUCAGGAGACCUGCUUCCUAGCUUGAGUUCCACCUGCACAAGCUUUUUAUUACUCCCUUCAUUCAAAANNNNNNNNNNNNNNNNNNNCCUUCCUGUGUGCCAGGCGCCGUGCUAAGCUCGGGGAAUAUAAGAGCAAAUAAGGCAGACACAGGCCCUGCCUUCUUGGGGCUGCUAGAGUUUAACAGGGGAAGCAAAACGUUACUGGCAGUUGUGUGACAGUAUGAUAAACCUUGGGACAUGGGGACAAAGUCAUCUGGUUUCCCAUUUUCUUAUAGGCAAAAGGGGAAGCUGACAAAGAGAAAUCCUCAAGACAUUCUCCCCUUCCAGGAUCUUAAUCAAUCAUUAGGCAAUUAGACCAGAGGCCCCAGUCCGUGGGUGAUGGACUGGUACUGGUCUAUGGCUUGUUAGGAGCUGGGCUGCACAGCAGUUGGUGAGCCACAGCUGAGCGAAGGUUCAUCUGCAUUUACAGCCGCUCCCCAUCAGUUGCAUUACCACCUGAGCUUCACCUCUUGCCAGAGCAGCGGCAGCAUCAGAUUCUCAUAGGAGUGCCAUCCCCAGCCCUAAAGUCAAGGUAGAAUAUCCUAAGAUUGCUGCAACAGAGGAAUAAACUACACAAUAAAUGUAAUGUCCUUGAAUCAUCCUCAGACCAUUGCUUCCUGCUGCCCCACUCCGUCCAUGGAAAAUUGUCUUCUGUGAAGCCAGCUCCUGAUGCCAAAGAUGCUGGGGACUGCUGAAUUAAGAUAGUCGAACAUCCACCCUUCCCUUACUGCCAGGGCUAGAUAAGGCUCUUGUUCUCCUUGUUUUCAAGGUCACUAUAACCUAGUUGGCGACACAAGGCUCAUGCAGAUGAAACGGUAAUUCACAGCUGAGGUAUCAGAUAAAUGUUACGAACUUUGAAAAGUUUUUGGCAGCUCAGAGAGUUCCUUGGGAGUUCAGAGGAGGGAGAGAUGGCUAAGUGCCUGACCCAUGCCAGAUACACUUUUCUCUGCACCUUCUCAGCCACUCCCCUGCCUCCCAUCACUGUGCUUAUACACGGGGAAGAUGCUUAAAUUCACGCCUGCAGUCCUGAGGUCUCCCACGAGCUUUUCUCUCUUCCCAGCCCCUCCCAUGUAAACAUAACUUGCUCCAAACGGCUUCUCCUACCACAGCCUCUUGUGACUUCCUGGUCUUUAUUCCAGCAUUUGCCACAAUUUCUUUGUCAUUGUUUAAUUAACUCUCUCUUCCAUAAGUCUGCAAGUUCCUCAAGAGUGGAGGCAGGGAUCAUGUCUAUUCAACUCACUGUUGUUUCUCCAGGGUCAUUAUAUUGCUUGACAUUUUAUUGGUAUUUGGUAAUAUAAAUGAUGACUAUCUAAUUCUUCUAGAGAAUAAAUUCACCUUUCUCUAAGGCAGGCAUCCAGGCUAUUUCAACCAAUCUGAGUGGUCCAUCCUAGAACAGUGAUGGAACCAGAUGCCGUGAUCUAAUAGAUGGAGAAACAAUGGAAACAGUGACAGACUUCAUUUCUGGGGGCUCCAAAAUCACUGCAGAUGGUGAUUGCAGC
rnacentral:lncRNA from 1 species